rnacentral:tRNA from 1 species
GGACAUGGUUCAAAUGGUACAGCACGUGCCUUUUAAGCACGAGGCCCUGAGUUCAAUCCUCUGUAUGGCCA